CGCGUAGGCUGCAUGGCCAGUCGGAGGUGAAAUCCCUCGGCUUAACCGAGGAACUGCCUCCGAUACUGCCGUGCUUGAGUCCCGGAGAGGGUAGCGGAAUUCCCAGUGUAGCGGUGAAAUGCGUAGAUACUGGGAGGAACACCAGUGGCGAAGGCGGCUACCUGGACGGGUACUGACGCUGAGGCGCGAAAGCGUGGGGAGCAAACA
rnacentral:rRNA from 1 species